rnacentral:rRNA from 1 species
GAUGAACGCUGGCGGCGUGCUUAACACAUGCAAGUCGAACGGGAAUUACUUUAUUGAAACUUCGGUCGAUUUAAUUUAAUUCUAGUGGCGGACGGGUGAGUAACGCGUGGGUAACCUGCCUUAUACAGGGGGAUAACAGUCAGAAAUGACUGCUAAUACCGCAUAAGCGCACAGAGCUGCAUGGCUCAGUGCGAAAAACUCCGGUGGUAUAAGAUGGACCCGCGUUGAAUUAGCUAGUUGGUGAGGUAACGGCCCACCAAGGCGACGAUCCAUAGCCGGCCUGAGGAGGUGAACGGCCACAUUGGGACUGAGACACGGCCCAGACUCCUACGGGAGGCAGCAGUGGGGAAUAUUGCACGAUGGGGGAAACCCUGAUGCAGCGACGCCGCGUGAAGGAAGAAGUAUCUCGGUAUGUAAACUUCUAUCAACAGGGAAGAAUUAGGACGGUACCUGACUAAGAAGCCCCGGCUAACUACGUGCCAGCAGCCGCAGUAAUAC